rnacentral:rRNA from 1 species
CUUGGUGAUUUAAGCGGAGAGGACCCACCCGUUUCCAUUCCGAACACGGAAGUUAAGCUCUCCAGCGCCGAUGGUACUGGGGUGCGCCCCGGGAGAGUAGGUCAUUGCCAGGG